UACGAAGGGGGCUAGCGUUGCUCGGAAUCACUGGGCGUAAAGGGUGCGUAGGCGGGUCUUUAAGUCAGGGGUGAAAUCCUGGAGCUCAACUCCAGAACUGCCUUUGAUACUGAGGAUCUUGAGUUCGGGAGAGGUGAGUGGAACUGCGAGUGUAGAGGUGAAAUUCGUAGAUAUCAUUUGGAACGCCAAUGGUGAAAACAACUCGCUGGGGGUGUGCUGACGCUGAGACACGAAAGCCAGGGGAGCGAACGGG
rnacentral:rRNA from 1 species